UACGUAGGUGGCGAGCGUUGUCCGGAAUUAUUGGGCGUAAAGCACGCGUAGGCGGGAUACUAAGUCUAAUGUCAAAGUGCGGGGCUCAACCCCGUGAUGCGUGAGAAACUAGUAUUCUUGAGUGCCGGAGAGGAAAGCGGAAUUCCCAGUGUAGCGGUGAAAUGCGUAGAUAUUGGGAGGAACACCAGUGGCGAAGGCGGCUUUCUGGACGGUGUCUGACGCUGAGGCGUGAAAGCCAGGGGAGC
rnacentral:rRNA from 1 species